rnacentral:tRNA from 1 species
GCAAUAGUGGCCGAAACUAGGCAAAAGACUGUAAAUCUUUUUAUGGAAAAAUCCCGUUGCAA